UGAAGCACCUGCACCAGAAUCUGCCC
rnacentral:piRNA from 1 species